CGCUUCCUUACUUAGUGACUUUUGGCAAAGGUUUGAAUCAGUUAAAGCCCAGUUUUCCAUGUUCACUGUUGAGAAACUUUCUGAUAACACACUUAAAACUGUGAUUGUCAGGAUGUUCAAUGAAACCGUGACUGGAGAUGAUAUUUGUGUUUGGUUGGGUAGAUUUUGCACUGUUCGAGGCCAGCCUGUCAAAGUGUUAGAUGAAGAUGGCAUUUGGACAUGCUCCUGGCGAAUUCCCAUUAAACAAUGGGAAGACGCUGGGGGCUACCAGGGCCUGAAGCAUCUGCCUUCCAUGAUUGUGCUCGGAGAGAACAGAGGCUACAUACAUUAUCAAGGAAUGCCCAAACUCUGCAGAAAGUGUGGAAGGUUUGGUCAUCUAUCUGAAGCAUGCCAAGAGUUAAUCUGUGGGAAGUGUAGAGAAAUUGGUCACAGUUUUGAUGACUGUACCAAUGGCAGACGGUGCAAUCUUUGUGGAGAAACAAACCAUCUCUACAGAGACUGCCCUAAAAGUUUUGCCAACAAGCUAAAAAUGGCCGCCCCACAUGGGCAACAAACGAAGGAACAAAGGAGAGAGGAGGCGGUCCCUGAGGUUUUGGCGGGAAUUUCAAAUUCCCAGCCGGCCUCAGGGAUUGGGCAGGAAGGAGGAAGUGGGGCGGCCACAGGGGCGGAGGCAACGGAACAGGAAGUGGUAAUGGAAGGGGAGGAAAGUGAGGAAGAAUCACUGGUAACAGUUUCGGAUGGGGUGGAAGAAUCCACCGGGAGUGAGACAGAGUGUUCACUCCCUAAUGCUCAGGUGCAAAAAAGACCUGCGGGGUCUCCUCUGAUUGUAACGGAGGAGAAAAAAUCUAGGGCAGCAUAUAAGCUCGAUAGUUCCGAUUCGGUAGAUCUGGAGCGCAUGUGGCCCCUAGAGUCCCCAAAUGAGGUUUCCUUUUUGCACAUUAAGCUAACAGCAUCAUCGCCAAAGGAGCCACAAGAGGUUCCCUCUGUGGCCUCUGAAGCGACAGGCAUUUGCCCUCCUGACCUCAGCUCAUCUGGGGAAAAGGAAAGACAAAUGCUACAAGAUGUAACAUGAUUUUAAUCAUAUUUUUGUAGUCUUUUUCUUGUCUUCUGUUUUAAAUGCCUCAUACCUUUUUAACCCUACUGCUCAUGGCCCUCACCAUCUCUACUAUCAAUGUCAGAAGUGUGAGGUCCACCAUUAGAGCACAGAGUAUUUUGUCCUUUUUAAAAUCUUUUAAGUCAGAUUUGUUUUUAUUACAAGAGUGUUCUCUGCCCUUUUUAACUAGGUACACAAAAAUGGAAGAGAUAUGGUCCGCAGGAGCCUCCAUAUGGAGCGGAUCAAAUUUUAACAAAAACGACGGAGUUGCGGUUUUAAUUAAUAAUCCUAACAUCUUGGUGAAGGGCAGCACUGUGCCCGCCUCGGUGGUUCCUGGGGAAACUGGAGAGGGCGGUGUUUUACUUCCUGUGGGGGUCCAAGUGGGAGCGCCUGAAGAGGGAGACCAUCAAGAAAAGGCCGGAGAACGGUGGAAAAGGCCUCCCAGACCCCCACCUGUUUUUAGGCAGCCGCUUCACCGCCCUGCACAUUAGUUAUGCCACGACCCCAUCCAAAGAAAACAAGACGGCUGCAAUGGCGCGAUUUUGGAUGGGGUCUUACCUACGAACACUGAAAAUUUUACCAGUGGACUUGAAAACCCCAGUGUCUUUUAACUUGCCCAAAGAGUACAGUUUUAUAAAAAAGUUUUUAAAGAAAUACCUUUUAGAGAGUGAAGAUGUCACCAUUUUAACUCAACACAAGUCUCUCAUCUCUGUUGUGCAGGACCGGGAACCGGUGAGUCCAGUUCCGGGCCUCACACCAAGUGAGGCCAAACAGGUUUGGCGGAACGCGGCUCACCCCGCUCUCCAGAACAGGCACAAGGACUUAUCGUGGAUGGUGGCUCAUGAGAUCCUCCCGGUCAGGGCGGUUAUGCACUCCAGAGGCAUGGCCAAAAACCCCAUCUGCCCGCGGUCCGGCUGCAAUUCCCCGGAGACCGUCCACCACCUGCUCUGGGAGUGCAGCACUGCGCGGGACCUGUGGGCCAAGACCGGCCCCCUGUAUUUCCCGUGCCUACCAGCGGGUGGGGCCCAGUUCGGGUACCAGCUCGCCAUCCUUGGGGUGGGCCGGGGCUUGAAGGACUUGACGGCACAGAAAUUUACCUCGCUCUGGCUCACCCUCAACGUCAUCAAGGAUGCCAUCUGGGCCACCAGAAACCUGCUGGUGGGGAAGCGCGUUACGGUAACCCUCCAUGCAUGCGAGCUAAAGGUAACAUCAAUGCUGCAGGGGUACCGGACGACGAUAUUCGGACGGGGGGGCCGGGGUCGCACGGAGAGGGUCCCGGCAGGCACCGACCCUGGCCGCCCGUAGAUGCACCCUCACCACUCUGGCUACGGGAACAGCGGGCCAGCGGGCCGGAGGAGAGGGGAUCUCCGCUGAGUCCAUAAAGUAGCAUCUCAUGUCCCUGUUCUGGAGAGUGGGGUGAUGACCCACUUGAUAAGGACUCACCCCCGGUCUUGCACAACAGAUGAUUUUUAAUUGGUGUUUUUUAUUGUUUUAUUAUGAAAGAGGUUUUAUUAACAUAUAUACGAGGCUUGUUUGCUUUUUUUAAAAUUUGUGUUUUACUUUGGAACUGACCGCACCUUUUAAACACACCUCAAUAAUGGACUUUUAAAAACAAGCAAAACACUGUGGUUUUAAUCAAAUGCUUUUUAAAAAUGAUUGUUUAUUUCAUUUUACCAUGUGUAUUUAUUAUAUAUUAUAUUGCUUGUUUUAAUGUGUGAUUAAAAAGAAAAUGUUGUGUGAAAAAGAAAAAAUGCAAAUGGAAAAAAUGUAAAUGGUGACAAUAAAACUUUUUCGAAAGAAAAAAAA